UACGUAGGGUGCGAGCGUUGUCCGGAAUUAUUGGGCGUAAAGGGCUCGUAGGCGGUCUGUUGCGUCGGGAGUGAAAACUUACAGCUUAACUGUGAGCGUGCUUUCGAUACGGGCAGACUUGAGGCAUUCAGGGGAGAACGGAAUUCCUGGUGUAGAGGUGAAAUUCGUAGAUAUUAGGAAGAACACCGGUGGCGAAGGCGGCCAUCUGGCUCGGUACUGACGCUCAGGCGCGAAAGCGGUGGG
rnacentral:rRNA from 1 species